GAUGAACGCUGGCGGCGUGCCUAAUACAUGCAAGUCGAGCGAACAGACGAGGAGCUUGCUCCUCUGACGUUAGCGGCGGACGGGUGAGUAACACGUGGAUAACCUACCUAUAAGACUGGGAUAACUUCGGGAAACCGGAGCUAAUACCGGAUAAUAUAUUGAACCGCAUGGUUCAAUAGUGAAAGACGGUUUUGCUGUCACUUAUAGAUGGAUCCGCGCCGCAUUAGCUAGUUGGUAAGGUAACGGCUUACCAAGGCAACGAUGCGUAGCCGACCUGAGAGGGUGAUCGGCCACACUGGAACUGGGCCACGGUCCAGACUCCUACGGGAGGGAGCAGUAGGGAAUCUUCCGCAAUGGGCGAAAGCCUGACGGAGCAACGCCGCGUGAGUGAUGAAGGUCUUCGGAUCGUAAAACUCUGUUAUUAGGGAAGAACAAAUGUGUAAGUAACUAUGCACGUCUUGACGGUACCUAAUCAGAAAGCCACGGCUAACUACGUG
rnacentral:rRNA from 1 species